rnacentral:rRNA from 1 species
UUUUUGGAGAGUUUGAUCCUGGCUCAGGACGAACGCUGGCGGCGUGCCUAAUACAUGCAAGUCGAGCGGAUCUUUAUUAGCUUGCUUUUGAAGAUCAGCGGCGGACGGGUGAGUAACACGUGGGCAACCUGCCUGUAAGACUGGGAUAACUUCGGGAAACCGGAGCUAAUACCGGAUAAUCCUUUCCCUCACAUGAGGGAAAGCUGAAAGACGGUUUCGGCUGUCACUUACAGAUGGGCCCGCGGCGCAUUAGCUAGUUGGUGAGGUAACGGCUCACCAAGGCAACGAUGCGUAGCCGACCUGAGAGGGUGAUCGGCCACACUGGGACUGAGACACGGCCCAGACUCCUACGGGAGGCAGCAGUAGGGAAUCUUCCGCAAUGGACGAAAGUCUGACGGAGCAACGCCGCGUGAACGAUGAAGGCUUUCGGGUCGUAAAGUUCUGUUGUUAGGGAAGAACAAGUACCGGAGUAACUGCCGGUACCUUGACGGUACCUAACCAGAAAGCCACGGCUAACUACGUGCCAGCAGCCGCGGUAAUACGUAGGUGGCAAGCGUUGUCCGGAAUUAUUGGGCGUAAAGCGCGCGCAGGCGGUUCCUUAAGUCUGAUGUGAAAGCCCCCGGCUCAACCGGGGAGGGUCAUUGGAAACUGGGGAACUUGAGUGCAGAAGAGGAGAGCGGAAUUCCACGUGUAGCGGUGAAAUGCGUAGAGAUGUGGAGGAACACCAGUGGCGAAGGCGGCUCUCUGGUCUGUAACUGACGCUGAGGCGCGAAAGCGUGGGGAGCGAACAGGAUUAGAUACCCUGGUAGUCCACGCCGUAAACGAUGAGUGCUAAGUGUUAGAGGGUUUCCGCCCUUUAGUGCUGCAGCAAACGCAUUAAGCACUCCGCCUGGGGAGUACGGCCGCAAGGCUGAAACUCAAAGGAAUUGACGGGGGCCCGCACAAGCGGUGGAGCAUGUGGUUUAAUUCGAAGCAACGCGAAGAACCUUACCAGGUCUUGACAUCCUCUGACAACCCUAGAGAUAGGGCGUUCCCCUUCGGGGGACAGAGUGACAGGUGGUGCAUGGUUGUCGUCAGCUCGUGUCGUGAGAUGUUGGGUUAAGUCCCGCAACGAGCGCAACCCUUGAUCUUAGUUGCCAGCAUUCAGUUGGGCACUCUAAGGUGACUGCCGGUGACAAACCGGAGGAAGGUGGGGAUGACGUCAAAUCAUCAUGCCCCUUAUGACCUGGGCUACACACGUGCUACAAUGGAUGGAACAAAGGGCCGCAAAACCGCGAGGUCGAGCCAAUCCCAUAAAUCCAUUCUCAGUUCGGAUUGCAGGCUGCAACUCGCCUGCAUGAAGCCGGAAUCGCUAGUAAUCGCGGAUCAGCAUGCCGCGGUGAAUACGUUCCCGGGCCUUGUACACACCGCCCGUCACACCACGAGAGUUUGUAACACCCGAAGUCGGUGGGGUAACCUUUUGGAGCCAGCCGCCUAAGGUGGGACAGAUGAUUGGGGUGAAGUCGUAACAAGGUAGCCGUAUCGGAAGGUGCGGCUGGAUCACCUCCUUU